rnacentral:snRNA from 1 species
AUACUUAUCUGGCAGGGGAGAUACAAUGAUCACAAAGGUGGGUUUCCCAGCGUGAGGCUUAUUCAUUGCACUCCAGGUGUGCUCACCCCUGUGAUUUUCCCAAAUGUGGGAAAUUCAACUGCAUAAUUUGUGGUAGUGGAAGACUGUGUUUGUACUUUCCCCUA